rnacentral:rRNA from 1 species
AUGGAGGGGGGCAGCAACAGCCCGGACAGGCAGUCGUCGGGCGGCAGCCCGGACGAGCGCCGCAGCGGAGGGAGGGGGGCGGGGGAGCCGGUGCGCUCGCGGUGGACGCCCAAGCCGGAGCAGAUACUCAUCCUCGAGUCCAUCUUCAACAGCGGCAUGGUCAACCCGCCCAAGGACGAGACCGUCCGCAUCCGCAAGCUGCUCGAGCGCUUCGGCGCCGUCGGCGACGCCAACGUCUUCUACUGGUUCCAGAACCGUCGUUCCCGCUCACGCCGCCGCCAGCGCCAGAUGCAGGCCGCAGCCGCCGCGGCCGCAGCAGCAGCAGCAGCAGCCUCCUCCGCCACCGCCAAUAGCUUGCCGGCUGCUAGCGCCACCAUCGGUCUUCCAUCCGGCACCGGCUCCGUUCACCCCAUGGCAAUCGGUGGGUGCGCGAGCCAGUACGAGCAGCAGGCGACCUCGUCGUCCUCGUCUGGAAGCACGGGAGGCUCGUCGCUGGGGCCUUUCGCGGCGCACGGCGCGGGGGUGCCGGGUGCCGGCGUUGGGUACCUGCAGGCAUCGUGCGGGACAUCGUCGCCGCUGGCGUCAGGGCUGAUGGCGGACGUCGACACCGGCGGCAGCGACGAUCUCUUCGCCAUCUCGCGUCAGAUGGGAUUCGUUGGGAGCCCCGCCGGACCCUCCUCCUCGGCGCCGAGCACCGCUGUGCAGCAGCAGUACUACUCGUGCCAGUUACCGGCAGCGACGAUCACGGUGUUCAUCAACGGAGUCCCAAUGGAGGUCCCGAGGGGUCCAAUAGACUUGCGAGCCAUGUUUGGCCAGGACGUGGUGCUCCUCCACUCCACCGGGACCCUCCUCCCAGUCAACGACUAUGGCAUUCUGAUUCAGAGCUUGCAAAUGGGAGAAAGCUAUUUUCUGGUCUCGAGGCAAACUUAA